GACAGAGGGUGCAAACGUUGUUCGGAAUUACUGGGCGUAAAGCGUGUGUAGGCGGCCACGUAAGUCGGAUGUGAAAGCCCCGGGCUCAACCCGGGAAGUGCACUCGAUACUGCAUGGCUCGAGUACCGGAGAGGUUGGUGGAAUUCUCGGUGUAGAGGUGAAAUUCGUAGAUAUCGAGAGGAACACCGGUGGCGAAGGCGGCCAACUGGACGGAUACUGACGCUGAGACACGAAAGCGUGGGGAGCAAACAGG
rnacentral:rRNA from 1 species